UGGGGAAUCUUGCGCAAUGGACGAAAGUCUGACGCAGCGACGCCGCGUGGGUGAUGAAGGCCUUCGGGUUGUAAAGCCCUGUGGGGCGGGACGAAUUAGUAGAAGCUAAUACCUUCUAUGAUGACGGUACCGCCUUAGCAAGCACCGGCUAACUCUGUGCCAGCAGCCGCGGUAAGACAGAGGGUGCGAACGUUGUUCGGAAUUACUGGGCGUAAAGCGUGUGUAGGCGGUCAUGUAGGUCGGAUGUGAAAGCCCCAGGCUCAACCUGGGAAGUGCACCCGAAACCGCACGACUUGAGUAUCGGAGAGGUUGGUGGAAUUCUCGGUGUAGAGGUGAAAUUCGUAGAUAUCGAGAGGAACACCGGCGGCGAAGGCGGCUCACUGGCCCGGAACUGACGCUGAGACGCGAAAGCGUGGGGAGCAAACAGGAUUAGAUACCCUGGUAGUCCACGCU
rnacentral:rRNA from 1 species